CUCUGCUUUUGAGAAUAAAAAAAUGAAAACAAAUGAAGCUUUCCUUUUAAUUUUUUUAAAACAUUAAAGAACCUUUUAGAAAACCCAAAAAAAUUUAUCCAUCAUUUCUCUUAUUUUUCCUAAAAACAGAGAGAAAGCUCUCAAAACUUUUCCUUUUCGACCGGUGCCGCCUUCAUCGGAGAUUCGGAGCGUCGAGGCUGCCGACUUCGCGAGUUUACCGGUAUGGCGAGGAUCACGGAGGCCGUGGGUUGCGCGAGCAACGACGUACGAUGCGGAGGUGGGUAGCAGCGUGUGGGAGGGGGGCUACUUCGGGUGUGCAGCGCUGGAGAGAGGUUUAGGUGGGUUUUGGGGUAUUGGGUUAUUGGGUGUAUUGGGCUUAGAGAUUGGGUUAGGUUUACUUAGUUAAUUGUUUUGGGUUUUAAAUGUAUUGGGCCCUGGGCAUAAAUUGGGCUUAACAAUUAUUUUAACCCUCCAUUUAAUUUUUCACCUUUUUUAA